GACGAACGCUGACGGCGUGCUUAACACAUGCAAGUCGAACGGUGAAGCGCCUUCCUUUUUGGUGGGUGUGGAUGAGUGGCGAACGGGUGAGUAACACGUGAGUAACCUGCCCCCUUCUUCUGGAUAACCGCAUGAAAGUGUGGCUAAUACGGGAUAUUCUGGGUCUGUCGCAUGAUGGGUCUGGGAAAGAUAUUGUUUCGGUGGGGGAUGGGCUCGCGGCCUAUCAGCUUGUUGGUGGGGUGAUGGCCUACCAAGGCGGUGACGGGUAGCCGGCCUGAGAGGGUGGACGGUCACACUGGGACUGAGACACGGCCCAGGCUCCUACGAGAGGCAGCAGUGGGGAAUAUUGCACAAUGGGCGCAAGCCUGAUGCAGCGACGCCGCGUGAGGGAUGGUGGCCUUCGGGUUGUGAACCUCUUUCGCCAGUGAAGCAGGCCUGCCUCGUUUGUGGGUGGGUUGACGGUAGCUGGAUAAGAAGCGCCGGCUAACUACGUG
rnacentral:rRNA from 1 species